UACGUAGGUCCCAAGCAUUAUCCGGAAUUACUGGGCGUAAAGAGUUGCGUAGGUGGUUUUUCAAGCGGAAAGUGAAAUCGUACGGCUCAACCGUAUUCACAUUUUCUGAACUGUUAAACUAGAGGAUGAGAGAGGUUAUUGGAAUUUCUUGUGUAGGAGUGAAAUCCGUAGAUAUAAGAAGGAACACCGAUGGCGUAGGCAGAUAACUGGCUCAUACCUGACACUAAGGCACGAAAGCGUGGGUAGCAAACGGG
rnacentral:rRNA from 1 species